AAGGAGAUCAAAACACAAAGGUUACUGCCGACAGUGCCAUAAUACUUGUCUGAAACUGAGCUUGUACCCUGAGAUCAUUGUAAUAACAAGCUUGAGAAUUUGUUUUUGGUGGUCUAUAACUUUUCGUCUUCUUGGUGCUGGCUUUGAUCCCUUCUUGUGCUUUGAUGGUAUCAUUUUCAGAAAUGGUGUAUAGAGAUGGCUGCCACAAUCCCUUUGAUGAUGAAUUUCUACGAGU
rnacentral:misc_RNA from 1 species